AACGCGAAGAACCUUACCCGGGCUAGAAAAGUACGGUAGCUGGUGGAAACACCGGUUUGCUCACAAGAGAGCCGUAAUCCAGGUGCUGCAUGGCUGUCGUCAGCUCGUGUCGUGAGAUGUUGGGUUAAGUCCCGCAACGAGCGCAACCCUUGUCCUCAGUUGCCAUCAUUUAGUUGGGCACUCUGGGGAGACUGCCGGCGUCAAGCCGGAGGAAGGUGGGGAUGACGUCAAGUCCUCAUGGCCCUUAUGUCCGGGGCUACACACGUGCUACAAUGGUCGGUACAGAACGUCGCGUACCCGCGAGGGGAAGCCAAUCGGCAAAAGCCGACCUCAGUACGGAUUGCAGGCUGCAACUCGCCUGCAUGAAGCCGGAAUUGCUAGUAAUCGCUGAUCAGCAGGCAGCGGUGAAUACGUUCCCGGGCCUUGUACACACCGUAGUAC
rnacentral:rRNA from 1 species